AUUGAACGCUGGCGGCAGGCUUAACACAUGCAAGUCGAGCGGAGAGAGGUAGCUUGCUACUGAUCUUAGCGGCGGACGGGUGAGUAAUGCUUAGGAAUCUGCCUAUUAGUGGGGGACAACAUUUCGAAAGGAAUGCUAAUACCGCAUACGUCCUACGGGAGAAAGCAGGGGAUCUUCGGACCUUGCGCUAAUAGAUGAGCCUAAGUCGGAUUAGCUAGUUGGUGGGGUAAAGGCCUACCAAGGCGACGAUCUGUAGCGGGUCUGAGAGGAUGAUCCGCAACACUGGGACUGAGACACGGCCCAGACUCCUACGGGAGGCAGCAGUGGGGAAUAUUGGGCAAUGGGCGAAAGCCUGAUCCAGCCAUGCCGCGUGUGUGAAGAAGGUCUUCGGAUUGUAAAGCACUUUAAGUUGGGAGGAAGGUCUGUAAGCUAAUAUCUUGCAGUCUUGACGUUACCAACAGAAUAAGCACCGGCUAACUCUGUGCCAGCCGCCGCCGUAACAC
rnacentral:rRNA from 1 species